GGAGUACUUCCCAGAACUUCUGCUGGCAGUGUCCUUGCCCAUGAGGUGAACCACAGCCACCCCUCAACUCUGCAGGAGACGCUGCCAACACUAGCAUGUAGGUCUGGACAUCAGAAGCAGGCAU